UAAGUGCACGCCUUCAUACGGUGAAACCGCGAAUGGCUCAUUAAAUCAGCUAUGGUUUAUUGGAUCAUACCCGUUAAAUGGAUAACUGUAAUAACUCUAGAGCUAAUACAUGCCCCGAAGCCCUGACCCGCGAGGGAAUGGGUGCACUUAUUAGAUCAGAAGCCAACCAGGUAGUGUUCUUCUGCCUUCGGGUGGGACGUCCGCUGCCUGUCGUCCUUCUGGUGACUCUGGAUAAUUGUUACAGAUCGCAGUCGGCCUUGCGUCGGCGACGGGUCCUUCAAAUGUCUGCCCUAUCAACUUUCGAUGGUAGGUGACCUGCCUACCAUGGUGAUAACGGGUAACGGGGAAUCAGGGUUCGAUUCCGGAGAGGGAGCCUGAGAAACGGCUACCACUUCCAAGGGAGGCAGCAGGCGCGCAAAUUACCCACUCCCAUGACGGGGAUGGU
rnacentral:rRNA from 1 species